AUGGCUUCUUGGCCUUUUGGCUAAGAUCAAGUGUACACUUCUAUUCCAAACCUAAAAAUGCUUGAUAUUGACCAAUGUGAAAUGCUGACAUUUCACAAGUCGGUAUUCUCUUCACAGAUCAGAGAACUGAGACUCCCA
rnacentral:snRNA from 1 species